rnacentral:lncRNA from 1 species
AGUGAAUUUACAGACUGGCUGAAAAAUGAAUCUUCUCGACUGGGAUGCCAUUCGAGCAAUUCAGAGAAAUAUGCACUCAAAUCAUAUUAAUAACAGCAUGGAGCAUUCCUCAAGAACUGCUACUGAGGGGGACCCUCACUGUGAAUACCCGAGACACACUGUCGAUGAAGCACAAAGUCCUUCCUCGCAUAACUUUUACAUUAACGAGUCAGAAGUCGCGGACCCAGAUGGAGAACCACUUGAAAUGGAUCGAGAGGAUCCAGAGCUGGCAAGAAAGCAGAAAGAGCUGAGAGAGAUUGAGGAACGCAUAAUGCUUAAGAAAGCUGCUAUUGCUCUGAAAACAGUUGAACUGAAGACAACGCCGGCAGACUUUUCCUGUAAUGAGCAAUCAGCUAAAUGCAAAGGUGCAACUCUUAAAGACCGGGUGCAUGUCAUUUUGCAGCAAAGACAUCCUGAUAGCUUUCUUUCAAAGGUCUGGUCACCAAAAGAGAGAAUGAACUCAUCCAGGCUGAGCAAAGAUGGUCUCCUGCAGAACGAGCAUCCUCUGAAGCUCAGAGUGAAGGCACUGAUGAAGCAGAGAUGUGGGGGUCCCUGUGUUUUGCCUGGAAGCAGAGAGGUCCCUGACGUCACACCGCCUCCUCCCAGUCAAAGCGUUGCUUCACCAGCCAAGGAAGAGAACAGCGUCAACAAGGGUUUCCAGCGCUUCCUCAGCGUGCUCAACAAAGGAGUGGACAUGGACUUUCUCAGCAGGAUUGUCAACGAUGACAGUGAAGAUCUUCCUUCAGGUGAGGACCUCCUAAACAUUCAGCCCCCUGUCGUGGAGAACAAGUCAGAUCCAUGCUUCAGGAGCAAGAGCCAGGAUCAAAAUAGUGGAGCCUCGCUGCUGGGCCGCAGUCAGACCAACAGUGGAGAGAGAAAGACUGACCAGGCCAGUAAAGAGAGAUACCUCAAAGACAGACUUUGCCUACCUGAUGAUGAUGAUGAAGAAGAGAAGAAGAAUGACAGAGGAGACUGCUGUUCUGGUUCUAGAGGGCGAUCCAAGUCUCCCUUAGCAGUGAAGAAGAAAGAAGAAGAAAAACCAGAGGUGGAUGAGCAGCGUGAACAGCUCCAGAACAUUCUUAAAACCCUGGGGUUGAACAUGGAAGUGGAAGAGAUGAGCAAACUAUCAGACCGGACUCAGGAGAGACUGUAUGGGAAGAAGCAUAAAGACACAAGUGCUAAAAGCAGAAGGCAGCAGGAGAGUCGGCAGAGUGGCUCCCAAAGACAUAACAGUAACUCCUCCUCCUCCUCCUCAAGGUCGACUAGGUCUAGAAGCCCCUCUCGCCAUCAGUGCUCCCACAGCAAAGACUCCAAACAAAGGUCUGAAGGCCCCCGCUCCAGAGACAGAAGCAGAGAUGGACUUACACGCCAUGACGAUAACCAGGACAGCAAAGAAGCGUGUAAAGACAAUGACGGACAAGACUCUGAAGAAAUGUAUACAUAUCAACAUCCAUAUUCACAAAACCAAACAUACCCCCAUCCCCCACCUGCUGCUUUUCCAGAUUACAGUUUGUCCCAGGACUCGCAGUACACUGCCUAUGAUAGUGGCACUUACUGGGCCCUUACUCAGAGUGGCAUUCCUCCCUCCCUUUACCCCGACGGGGAUCCUUAUCCAGUAAACGCCUACCAUGAGUUUCCUGGCUCUGUAGGGGCACCUGACAUGGUUUACCCUCAUCACGACUCUCCUAACAUCAACUUCUUUGUAAAUCCAGAUCUGUCUAAGAGUGAAGGCCAAACUGGCUAUGUUUCCGCCCCUCGCUGCCUGCAGGUCAUCAGCACUAAGACUCCAGCCCCUGAUCGCUGUCUAAUGACGCUCACAAAAAGCCAAAAGAAGAAGUGGGGGAAUUGUAAAAUUGCAAAAAAGAGGCAGAAUUUAUUUUGGAAAAAGUAUAAGGAGUUUCGGAAACAACAAAAAACAAAUCACUUAGAAAUCAGUGACGAGGAUGGAGGCGCCACAGCGCCAAAAUGAUGAACAUGUUUCAGAACAUUUAGUAUUGAAGUCGUAUUUUCGGACUUUGACUGAAUCAUCCUUUAACAAGUAAAUGAUAUCUUCCUCAAAAUAAUAUUUUUGUGCCAUUAAUGACCAGUUUGCUCUAAGAGAGGUUUUACCUGUUUCAGCUCUACAUUUCUGUGAAUAUCACUACUUUGUAACUCUGUUUCUAAACAGCCUUUGGUUCUUUGUGCUGUAUACAAUUGAUUAAACUAUAUAUGUUUUGCAGGCUUUGUGUUCAUUUGUUUAGUUUUUUUAGAUGAGUGAAAGGAGACAUGACAUACACAGCGUAACACAUUGGGUGACAUGACAGGAUUAACGUGACCGUGCAAACAAAGAAUAAGUAUUUUUGACCCUGACGUUGUUGAUCCCCUGACUGAUGUAGUGCCACCAACAGGUCAGUUUGUUCUAAGUGUCC